rnacentral:rRNA from 1 species
GGACUACUGGGGUUUCUAAUCCUGUUUGCUCCCCACGCUUUCGCACCUGAGCGUCAGUAUUGGUCCAGGAAGUCGCUUUCGCCACUGAUGUUCCUUCAGAUAUCUACGCAUUUCACCGCUACACCUGAAAUUCCACUUCCCUCUCCCAUACUCUAGCAAGACAGUUUCGAAUGCAGGUCCCAGGUUAAGCCCGGGGAUUUCACACUCGACUUGUCAAGCCGCCUACGCGCGCUUUACGCCCAGUAAUUCCGAUUAACGCUUGCACCCUCUGUAUUACCGCGGCUGCUGGCAC